GAUAGAGUUAGGGUUUGGAAUCGAUAGCAGUUUUGAGAUCGAGGGAUACGAAUAAAGCUUAAGAAAGGGAUGAUGAUGGUUGUGCUGAUUGUUUUGGUCGACUCAAACUCAUGGGAAGGGGUUGAUGUUGAAUCACAAAGUGUUGUCUCGAGUUCGCGGUUCUUUUCUUGAAGGCAGGUGUUACAACCAUUAGUGCUAUUCGAGGAGCUGCUAUUAUAAAUUAGGAGGAAUUGAUGUUGAAUCACGAAGUCUGUUUCGAGCGCAAACCAAGUCAUGUCUGCGUACAAAAACAUCAUGUUAGGGAGUUGGGUAGACAAUACUUAUUAGUCCAGUCUCAUUAUUGUCUAUGAAUCACGAAUGCUACCAGGAUUAACUUUAAUCCUGAUCUACCUGAACUUGGAGGAACAUGUGAGAGGUAGACAAUUUUUAUAAUCCUGUGAUGGAUAAGUAUUUUUAGUAGUAAAAGCCUUUUGUUUGUGACUGUUGCAUUUUGAUUUUUUUUUGAGUUCUACAUAGUCCCUAAUCUAACUGUAUUGACUCAACUGACACUUAAUGUUCUGCAGAUUUCUAUGCUCUACUCUUGGUCUACUAGGGCAUGUUCGCGGCAGGCAUUGGCCAAUGUAUCUUCCAUGCUUUGUUCAGCUGAGACCUUCAAUGGUGUAAUUACUAGA